GUGAUUCCUUCCUUUGAAGUUUUCUACUGUAAGCUUAGGACACAAUUCCUACUUCAGAUCUAUGUGCUGAGGCUGAGUGAGGUUAUUAGAUAAAUGCCUGUGGCCUGAGAAGCCUGAGGGGUGGCUGUAAUGAGAAGAUUUUUACCAGCUGGUCCAAAAUCUUCAAGUUGCCUACCUGACUGCUGAAAGAAAGCCAAGAUGGGAACAAUAGCAAGAAGACAAAGCAAAGAUAAUCGGUAAUAGGAAAUCUCUUUGAUUCCACCUGUCAUUUCUGUUGUGACUGCCAUAUUCAGAAGCGUUAUAUGAGAGUAGCUCCAACACACUUCUGGUGCUAAGAAUGAGAGUCUCACUACCUCUUAAUUCCAGUGCAGAUCAUCAUUACUUGAAACUGAAGUGAAUUUGGCAUCUGGGAGAGUAACUGACUUCAUCUCGCUCAGUGCAUCUUAUGUUAGUGGUGUUCUCUGGGUUUGCUGAGCAGAAUUUCACUAUUGGCUGAGCUCCUUAGGCUAAUAUUUUCAAAGACAGCUAUAGGGAAUUAAUGUCCAACUCAGUAGGAUAUUGGUGGGUUAUUCCCUUGGUUUCCUUGGGGGGAAAAAAAAAUGUGCCUGGAUUUGCUGACUUUGACCAUUUAAAGAGAUGGUGGAAUUUGGUUCCGCCAUGCAUGAAAUCUUUAUUGGGUCUUGUUCAGAGCCUAGAGCUAAAACAUUCACAGAGCAGUGAUCUCAUAUUAAUGAUGGUAGUGUAACUGUGAUGUGAUUUAAUAAAGAGAAGAAACAUAGCUUAUUACUGUAACUUGUAAUUCUAAUGCAUUUCCUCCCAAUGCUGGAAGGAAGCAUUUUCCAUUACCUCUCAUGUUUCUUUUCCAAGGGAGUGAAAUUUCUUAUUUUUCCAGAACUAGGAGCACCCCUAUUCUUCAGACAAGUUAUCCAUUUGUAGAACUCUUUUAAAAUGCCCUAGUUGGCAGGGGAAGAACAAAAGGCCUCAGCACAGGGCUGGUGUGGUGGGGGAUGAACUGAGUAAUCAGACGAGUCAGGUGAGGGUUGCUGCUGCUCAGUCAGCAUCAUGGGGAGGGAUGCAGAAACAGGAAUUGAGUGUCUGUGCUAACUGUCUGUGGGUAUUUAAAUUCUCAUUCUUCACCUAAGUGGAAAACAACAUUUUUCCCCAUUGCCCUGGGAUCUCUUAUUCAAGGCUGGAGUUGGAUGCUCAGUUGGAAGAAGUGUCCUGCAUUUAGGCUGUGUGGAAGUGUGUGCUAUGAGCUGCUGUUACAAAGCAGUUCAUGCAGGGUAACUCAUCACCCCGCUGCCCAUCUGUAUGCUUGCGCCGCAUCGUUAUGAGAGGUAAUUCAAGGUAGCUGACUUUCAAGGAGAGAAGGCAGCCCUUGGAUUUUGUAUCUCUAGAAGAAGAAAAGGUUUCGUUGCAUUUCCUUAAAUACAAUUUGUGCUUUUUUACAGUGUGAAUAACAUUCUUUAAUAUCUAUAUUUAGUGUAGCAACUACAAUAAAUCCAACUCUGAAACAUAA
ensembl:lncRNA